rnacentral:lncRNA from 1 species
CUUCGAAUAUAUCACAGCCUUCAAUAUGGUGGGCUAAUUGGGCUGUAACUUUCCUGUCCAUAAAAUUAUUAGUGCUAUCUGUAUCAAUCAAAAUAGUGACAGGUUGAUGCUUCAAAGUUCCUCCGAUUUUCAUAGUUUGUGGGUUAGUGUAGCCAGCCAAUGCAUGCACUGUAUGUGUGAUGGCUUCAAUAUCUUCAUCAGUUUUCAU